UUGAACGCUGGCGGCAGGCCUAACACAUGCAAGUCGAGCGGAUGAAGGGAGCUUGCUCCUGGAUUCAGCGGCGGACGGGUGAGUAAUGCCUAGGAAUCUGCCUGGUAGUGGGGGAUAACGUCCGGAAACGGUCGCUAAUACCGCAUACGUCCUGAGGGAGAAAGUGGGGGAUCUUCGGACCUCACGCUAUCAGAUGAGCCUAGGUCGGAUUAGCUAGUUGGUGGGGUAAAGGCCUACCAAGGCGACGAUCCGUAACUGGUCUGAGAGGAUGAUCAGUCACACUGGAACUGAGACACGGUCCAGACUCCUACGGGAGGCAGCAGUGGGGAAUAUUGGACAAAGGGCGAAAGCCUGAUCCAGCCAUGCCGCGUGUGUGAAGAAGGUCUUCGGAUUGUAAAGCACUUUAAGUUGGGAGGAAGGGCAGUAAGUUAAUACCUUGCUGUUUUGACGUUACCAACAGAAUAAGCACCGGCUAACUUCGUG
rnacentral:rRNA from 1 species